rnacentral:rRNA from 1 species
UUGAAAGGGAAACGAUUGAAGUCAGUCGUACCUGCGGGUAAUCAGCCUUUUGGGCAUGAUUCUGUGGAGCGUGAGGAGUUAAACGCCUUCAUGCCUGCAUAUUCGUGUACUUUGGGUGUACUUGCCUGUGUGGUUAGUUAACAUCAAUUUCGGUUAUCAUAAAAUGGCUGGAGGAAUGUAGCUUCGAUUUCGAUUGAAGUGUUGUAGCCUUCGGCAGAUGUGAUGAUCGGGAUUGAGGAUUGCAACGGAUACCCUUCGGGGCUACCUGUCUGGUCUCUGAUCGUUGCUCUGGUGCCGAAAGCGUGCUUACGGUUAUCAAAGUCGAUGGUCAAUAGGUUAGAACGGGUUAAAUUCGUUAAGGAUGUUGACGUA